ensembl:lncRNA
UGGGUUACUGUAUUCCUACAUGGCUGGGUUACUGUAUUCCAACAUGGCUGGGUUACUGUAUUCUAACACGGAUGGGUUACUGUAUUCUAACACGGAUGGGUUACUGUAUUCUAACACGGAUGGGUUACUGUAUUCUAACACGGCUGGGUUACUGUAUUCCUACAUGGCUGGGUUACUGUAUUCUAACAUGGCUGGGUUCCUGUAUUCUAAUAUGGCUGGGUUACUGUAUUCUAACAUGGCUGGGUUACUGUAUUCUAACAUGGCUGGGUUACUGUAUUCCAACAUGGCUGGGUUACUGUAUUCUAACAUGGCUGGGUUACUGUAUUCCAACAUGGCUGGGUUACUGUAUUCUAACAUGGCUGGGUUACUGUAUUCCUACAUGGCUGGGUUACUGUAUUCCUACAUGGCUGGGUUACUGUAUUCCUACAUGGCUGGGUUACUGUAUUCCUACAUGGCUGGGUUACUGUUUUCUAAUAUGGCUGGGUUACUGUAUUCCUACAUGGCUGGGUUACUGUAUUCCAACAUGGCUGGGUUACUGUAUUCCAACAUGGCUGGGUUACUGUAUUCCAACAUGGCUGGGUUACUGUAUUCCACUGUCUCCUGUCCUGUCAGUCUAUACUAUCAGUAUUGCAGAGAAGAUGACAGUGUUGAUGAGAAACAGGGAGGAAGAGAGAGAGAAAUAGAAUGGGGAGGAAGGGAUAUUGGUUUCCCCUAUGACCCCCAACCUAGGGUGCUGUUUUCAAUGUGCAUGCUAGCCGUGUGCGUGCGCACGUUUGUAAGUUUGUGGAAGACCAGCAUCCCUGUGUGAUUAUGGUUUGGUCAGGUACAUUUACAUUUGUAUUCAACCUUUAUUUAACAAGGCAAGUCAGUUAAGAACAAAUUAUUAUUUACAAUGACGGCCUAGGAACAGUGGGUUAACUGGUCUAGGAACAGUGGGUUAACUGGUCUAGGAACAGUGGGUUAACUGGUCUAGGAACAGUGGGUUAACUGGUCUAGGAACAGUGGGUUAACUGGUCU